rnacentral:rRNA from 1 species
AUGAACGCUAGCGACAGGCUUAACACAUGCAAGUCGAGGGGCAGCACAGGUAGCAAUACCGGGUGGCGACCGGCGCACGGGUGAGUAACGCGUAUGCAACUUACCUAUCAGAGGGGGAUAACCCGGCGAAAGUCGGACUAAUACCGCAUGAAGCAGGGGCCCCGCAUGGGGAUAUUUGCUAAAGAUUCAUCGCUGAUAGAUAGGCAUGCGUUCCAUUAGGCAGUUGGCGGGGUAACGGCCCACCAAACCGACGAUGGAUAGGGGUUCUGAGAGGAAGGUCCCCCACAUUGGUACUGAGACACGGACCAAACUCCUACGGGAGGCAGCAGUGAGGAAUAUUGGUCAAUGGCCGAGAGGCUGAACCAGCCAAGUCGCGUGAGGGAUGAAGGUUCUAUGGAUCGUAAACCUCUUUUAUAAGGGAAUAAAGUGCGGGACGUGUCCCGUUUUGUAUGUACCUUAUGAAUAAGGAUCGGCUAACUCCGUGCCAGCAGCCGCGGUAAUACGGAGGAUCCGAGCGUUAUCCGGAUUUAUUGGGUUUAAAGGGUGCGUAGGCGGCCUUUUAAGUCAGCGGUGAAAGUCUGUGGCUCAACCAUAGAAUUGCCGUUGAAACUGGGGGGCUUGAGUAUGUUUGAGGCAGGCGGAAUGCGUGGUGUAGCGGUGAAAUGCAUAGAUAUCACGCAGAACCCCGAUUGCGAAGGCAGCCUGCCAAGCCAUGACUGACGCUGAUGCACGAAAGCGUGGGGAUCAAACAGGAUUAGAUACCCUGGUAGUCCACACAGUAAACGAUGAAUACUCGCUGUUUGCGAUAUACAGUAAGCGGCCAAGCGAAAGCAUUAAGUAUUCCACCUGGGGAGUACGCCGGCAACGGUGAAACUCAAAGGAAUUGACGGGGGCCCGCACAAGCGGAGGAACAUGUGGUUUAAUUCGAUGAUACGCGAGGAACCUUACCCGGGUUUGAACGCAUUCGGACCGAGGUGGAAACACCUUUUCUAGCAAUAGCCGUUUGCGAGGUGCUGCAUGGUUGUCGUCAGCUCGUGCCGUGAGGUGUCGGCUUAAGUGCCAUAACGAGCGCAACCCUUGCCACUAGUUACUAACAGGUAAAGCUGAGGACUCUGGUGGGACUGCCAGCGUAAGCUGCGAGGAAGGCGGGGAUGACGUCAAAUCAGCACGGCCCUUACAUCCGGGGCGACACACGUGUUACAAUGGCGUGGACAAAGGGAAGCCACCUGGCGACAGGGAGCGAAUCCCCAAACCACGUCUCAGUUCGGAUCGGAGUCUGCAACCCGACUCCGUGAAGCUGGAUUCGCUAGUAAUCGCGCAUCAGCCAUGGCGCGGUGAAUACGUUCCCGGGCCUUGUACACACCGCCCGUCAAGCCAUGGGAGCCGGGGGUACCUGAAGUCCGUAACCGCGAGGAUCGGCCUAGGGUAAAACUGGUGACUGGGGCU